AGUGAUGAUAUUUGUAACUUACGCCCCCUGUGUGCAAUGUCGUAUGAACGUAUUUUAUCGCACUAGUGUGAUAAAGGAUUUGCAAGUGGUUUUAUCGCACUAGUGGGAUAAAAGCCACGUGGUACUGAAGUCACACUAAGAUUAUCUUCGGUAUUUAUUCGAUUUUCUUCAUUGCAUAAAACGUUUGCUGGCAUAUUAUC